rnacentral:rRNA from 1 species
UACGUAGGGACCAAGCGUUGUUCGGAUUUACUGGGCGUAAAGGGCGCGUAGGCGGCGUGGUAAGUCAAUUGUGAAAUCUCCGAGCUUAACUCGGAACGGUCAAUUGAUACUGCUGUGCUAGAGUGCAGAAGGGGCAAUCGGAAUUCUUGGUGUAGCGGUGAAAUGCGUAGAUAUCAAGAGGAACACCUGAGGUGAAGACGGGUUGCUGGGCUGACACUGACGCUGAGGCGCGAAAGCCAGGGGAGCAAACGGG